rnacentral:tRNA from 1 species
GUCGGUAUACUCAGUGGUAGAUCACGUGCUUGGCAUGCACGAGGGAGGUCCUGGGUUCAAUUCCCAGUACCUCCU